rnacentral:rRNA from 1 species
CUACUGGCUGCAGCAGUGAGGAAUAUUGCACAAUGGGGGGAACCCUGAUGCAGCAACGCCGCGUGGAGGAUGACGCAUUUCGGUGUGUAAACUCCUUUUAUAUGUCAAGAAAAUGACGGUAGCAUAUGAAUAAGCACCGGCUAACUCCGUGCCAGCAGCCGCGGUAAUACGGAGGGUGCAAGCGUUACUCGGAAUCACUGGGCGUAUAGGACGCGUAGGCGGGUUGGAAAGUCAGGUGUGAAAUCCUACAGCUUAACUGUAGAACUGCACUUGAAACUUCUAAUCUAGAGUAUGGGAGGGGGAGAUGGAAUUAGUGGUGUAGGGGUAAAAUCCGUAGAUAUCACUAGGAAUACCUAAAGCGAAGGCGAUCUCCUGGAACAUUACUGACGCUAAGGCGUGAAAGCGUGGGGAGCAAACAGGAUUAGAUACCCCCGUAGUC